CCUACGGGUGGCAGCAGUGAGGAAUAUUGGUCAAUGGACGAGAGUCUGAACCAGCCAAGUAGCGUGAAGGAUGACUGCCCUAUGGGUUGUAAACUUCUUUUAUAUGGGAAUAAAAUGUUCCACGUGUGGGAUUUUGUAUGUACCAUAUGAAUAAGGAUCGGCUAACUCCGUGCCAGCAGCCGCGGUAAUACGGAGGAUCCGAGCGUUAUCCGGAUUUAUUGGGUUUAAAGGGAGCGUAGGUAGAUUGUUAAGUCAGUUGUGAAAGUUUGCGGCUCAACCGUAAAAUUGCAGUUGAAACUGGCAGUCUUGAGUACAGUAGAGGUGGGCGGAAUUCGUGGUGUAGCGGUGAAAUGCUUAGAUAUCACGAAGAACUCCGAUUGCGAAGGCAGUUCACUGGACUGCAACUGACACUGAGGCUCGAAAGUGUGGGUAUCAAACAGGAUUAGAUACCCGAGUAGUC
rnacentral:rRNA from 1 species